ensembl:lncRNA
AUGCUAGCAGUUUAUCGUGCACUGAAGCACUUCCUCCCAGACCUAAAGGGUCACCAUGUGUUGGUGCGCACCGACAACACCUCUGGGACUGGACGCUAUGGUACAGACCUGGCCGAGGCUUCGUCUGUACGCCUUUCCCCCUAUUUCUCUGCUCCCGGGAGUUCUGGCGAGAGUAUGCCGGGACGGGGUCCGUCUGUUAUUAGUAGCCCCGUUCUGGCCGGGCCGACUAUGGUUCGCAGAUUUGGUCUCGCUCCUCGACGGCUCUCCGUGGGAGAUACCGAUCAGGACAGACCUACUCUCACAAGUGCAGGGCACGAUAAUUCACCCUCGCCCGGAGUUGUGGAAGCUGUGGGUGUGGCCCCUGAGGGGGCACAACUAUUAGCAUCCGGUCUCUCAACCAAGGUUGUUGAGACCCUCCUCCAAUCCAGAGCUCCCUCAACAAGAAAACUGUACGCCCUGAGGUGGAAACUCUUCACCUCAUGGUGCAGAGACCGCCAGCUAGACCCAGCAAACUGCCCAGUUGGUACAGUUCUGGAGUUCCUACAGGCCAGGCUCUCUGCAGGGUUGACCCACUCCAUGUUGAAGGUCUACGUGGUGGCCAUUGCGGCCUACCACGCCCUUCUCGAUGGUCAGUCUUUGGGAAGACACCCCUUAGUUACACGUUUCCUCCGCGGUGCGCUGAGGCUGAGACCUCCAGUACGGUCCCGUAUCCCCCCGUGGGACUUGGUUGUGGUGUUAGAGGUGUUGUGCAAACCUCCGUUUGAGCCUAUUCAAGAUAUUUCAGACAGACAUUUGAUGCUUAAAACCGCCUUUCUGUUGGCCAUUACCUCUCUGAGGAGAGUAGGAGAUUUGCAGGCCCUCUCAGUGGCCCCUACCUAUCUUGAUUUUGCACCUGGCAUGACCAAAGCGUUCAUAUACCCUCGAGCGGGAUAUAUUCCUAAGGUCCCCUCUGUCACACCACAACCUGUAGUGCUGCAGGCCUUCUGUCCUCCUCCCUUUCGGGAGCCCGACCAAGCGAAGCUAAAUGGACGCAUACGUCCACAGAGCUGCCCUGUGGAGAAAAACAGACCAAUUGCUUGUAUGCUAUGGUCCCCCCAAGAGGGGCUCUCCUGCUUCUAAGCAGACUAUUAGUCGUUGGAUAGUCGAGGCUAUCAAUGCCACCUAUGAGUCCUCUGGUCUUCCCCCGCUGCUGGGAGCCAAGGCUCACUCCACACGGGGUAUGGCGGCCUCCAAGGCCUUCUUAGCAGGUGUUUCCAUGCUGGACAUCUGCAACGCUGCGGGGUGGUCCACGCCCUCUACAUUUGCAAAAUUUUAUGGCUUAGACAUGCCAGUCACUCCAGGCGCUUCUGUCCUCUCGUCCUAAGCUGUGCUCUUUGGAUACACACUAGGCAGGGGUUUGGUAGUCUGGCAGGGUUGGUACUCGUUCCCCAAAGCGUUCGACGCAGCUCGAGUUCCUGAAGAGGAACGUCUCUAGGUUACGUAUGUAACCCUAGUUCCUCGAGGGAAUGAGACGCUGCGUCGAACGCUUUGGAGCCAUACCCCCGGCACCCCUGCCGGCGCUUGCUGGUACUCGAAGCUAACGCCAGCUGUGCGGCACGUGCUUUUAUAGCUUCCUGGUCGCUUACGUCACCCCACCCGUGACGUCACGCUCUUCCAUUGGACUGAUUACACACGAUAUUCAGAGUCGCUCACGCUAGACGCGUUCCCCAAAGCGUUCGAUGCAGCGUCUCGUUCCC